GCGUCUCAUUAGCUAGUUGGUAGGAGUAAUGGCCUACCAAAGGCAAACGAUGAGUAGCUGGUCUGAGAAGGAUGAUCGGCCACUMCUGGGACUGAAAACACGGUCCAGACUCCUACGGGAGGCAGCAGUGGGGAAUAUUGCGCAAUGGGCGAAAGCCUGUCGUAGCAACGCCGUGUGAGGGAUGAAGGCUUUCGGGAUCGUAAACMUCUGUAGGAAGGGAAGAACGGUCAUUAGUUUAAAUAGACCUUUGUUUUGACGGUACCUUUARAGGAAGCACCGGCUAACUCCGUGCCAGCAGCCGCGGUAAUACGGAGGGUGCAAGCGUUAUUCGGAAUUACUGGCCGUAAAGCGCACGUAGGCCGCUUUGUAAGUCAGGGGUGAAAUCCCRCGUCUCA
rnacentral:rRNA from 1 species